rnacentral:lncRNA from 1 species
UCGUCACCUGAUGAUACACUAUGUUAUAAACUAUUUUGUUAAUUGGGAUAGUACCAACUGCAUAGAGCAAAUCUUAUUUUUAUUAAUUGGGAUCCAAAAGAUCCCAAAAAACAUUUGCAUAAACUACUUUGUAUCAUAUUAAUAGUUUCAUCUUAUUUAGGAGAAUAAUAAGUAGCUUUAUGAUAUAGUGGCUUAUGUAACAGGACAUAGAUUCAUGUGUGAAGAACC